CAGUGACACAAAUGCACAACCGCAUGAAGACACAAGCACCGUCCAAAACCAUGUGACCAGCUUACGCAAUCAGGUCAAGGGUUUAUAUACUACCUACAGAGGCUGGACUCCUUCAGGGGAGAUCAUCACUGUGCAGGUGUGUGUCUGAGUGAGUGGGUGAGGUGUGUUUGCGUGUGUGUUUUUGGACACGGGGGAGAGUUGCUGUUGCCUCCACACUCAGGCCUGGGGAAGAGAACCGAGGGCAAAGAGUCACAUAACACUAAGAAGCAGAGGGAUAACCAGUGAAACAGUUGCCUGGCUGAACGUCCUGAGGGAAACUCGCAGAGGGGUUUUGUGGUCUCACCUGUGAAGCAUCAGCGAGAACAACAACAACAACAAUGUUUUUCCGCAUCCCUCGGCUGACCCCUGGAUAUAUUAGAUACCUCCAGACCCAGGCAGCCCAGACUGUGGUGCAGAGCCGGGAGGGCCCUGCUACGCCGCGCAUGGCUUUCCUGCUGGGUCUCGUGGGUAUCGGCAUGUCCGGCUACAGCUCACGCCAGCUCACGCUGCACUACAAGCCCUCAAAUCACCUCUUUAGAUGAAAUGGAUGGAGAACACACAGACUUUUCUUUUUUCUUUUGGGAAAUACGCUUAUUAAAUGUGGACUCCAGCAAGUUUGUUUUUGUAGUUAAGAAACGGUCUAACACCUCUAAACCUCACAGUGAUUUAUACGCUUUCCAGUUUUGUGAGGUUUAGGGAUGUUGAUGAAUUUUGUUUCCUGGCUCAAAAUUCACAAUAAGCAGAAACAAGUGAAAAUGAUGGGAUAAAUAAUAAAUAAGGCUAUUUCCCAAAAACUCAAACUGUCGAUUGAAGUGAUGUUACCACAUUGUAUGUUUCUGUUCUGUAUUUUUUCUUAUGUGCAUCCCUACUAAUUAUUCCCUUCAUGUGGUUAAAGUUCAAUAUUUAAUUUGUUAUAAUGUUGUGGUAUUUGAGUUGACAAGAUUGUUGCCUUAAGGCUCAGAUAGUGCAGUUAAAAAGCAGAAAAACAUAUUUUAAAAAAUCCCUCUUACUUCAAGUACCGUGCAUUUUUUUUUUCAACCUAUAUGCAGUAACACAGAGGCAGCUUUUGAUGUUUCUGCUGAACGUUGUUGAUGCUGCACUCGAGCCACAGUCCCAGCCCAUGUUUGGUGCCUUACUGUGGGAGUAUUCAGUCAGAGCUGGCCUUUGAAACAGAUUCACAGGCUAAAGCACUUAGCAAAAUGCAUCAGCGGUCUUCAAAGACACUAAAUACAGCUUAGCCAAGCCUAAAGAAAUCUCUUCCAAAAUCCUCAAUCUUUUAAUCAUUCCUUUCUUUAUCUGUGAGAUUUUGGCAAACUCUGUGAUGUAACACAGAGAUCCCAGCUCCCUCUUCUUUCUGGAGGAGGAAAGCCAGCGUUGUGAUGUCUUGGCCUGUUUGUGCUUCUUGGAUUUCUUGUGUAACAGAGAGAUCAAAUUAGAAGCAUAUUUAAAUCAGGGUAACUGAAGUCUGCUUUCACUCUCAAUUCUUGUCGAGAGUUGACAGCGUGGGUUUCUGAUAUCUUUUUCCGCUCUAUCAAAAUGCCAGAGAAGUGAAGAAAAUCUGCCUGCUCACAGUCGGCUGCUCAGAAGAGCACAAAGAAAAAUGCUUUAACAGAAACAUAAGAAAUGUGAAGCCUUUGAGAUGCGAGCAAUGCUGUUUUGCACUUUUUUGUUGUGUGUACAUAUUUUGUAUAUAAUCGUGUACAUAUUGCAUGCUGAAUGAGAUUAGUAGCCAAUGACGUGGUGUGCUACCAGCCUGUGAUGUGAGCUGGACUGGGGGACGUCUGGCUGGAUUGACACACAGCACUGCUGUGUUGGUGUCAGGCAUAGGAACCAGGACAGCCACCCUGGGUACCACCUGGACAGCCAUGUGAAUCCACCCGGAUCUCUCCCAUUUGCACCCCACUGUAAAUCAAAGUGAAUGUAGAUGAAUGACCACUACGGUCUCUUAACAUAGGUAGACUCCUUUUCUGGGAGUGGGGGCGGGUAUCUUCUGUGCACAGUAAAUUUCAAUGGAAAAAACACUUUGACAGCAUAUGAAUGUAUUGCCUACAGGGAAUAAAACUGAUCAGUUAAACUGUAAUUGUGAAGAUGACUGUGUCAUAAUCACCUGGCUAAAGCAGUUUAGCGUGAACAGGUCACAGAGGAGGUGCAGUUAUGCUGCAAUCCCUCAAAGAUCUUCUGUCUUUUUUUAGAUAAGCUUAUACGUAAAGGUGAGAGGCUUCUGAAAUACAGAUAUAGAUAUAGCAGUUCAAGAAGUGUGCUUUUUUAUGUCUGUUAACUGCAUGGCAAAGAUUCAAAUCUCCGUAGGGUGAUUUUAAAUAAUAUGUUGUUGUUAUGCUUUAUUAUUGCUGAAGCUUUACUCGUUUAGCUUUCUUGUUAGUGUUUGUGGACUAAUGGCAUAAAAUGUCUCAAAUACUGCUGAUUAUCUGAGUUUGUAAUUAGAACUGUGUAUGUUUAAGCCCAUCAUCAUAUCCUUUAUUUAUUUAGCUAGGUCCUUUUGAUGUUACAAAAGGCCAGAGGAGAUUAUUUGCAUGCCACCAGAGUGCUUCUGUGUUAUUAUUAUUUUUAUUUUUUAAUUUAUAAGUAGUAAAACUGAGCUGUGGUGUCAUGGAUCGUUAAGGUUUACCUGAAGCAUUCUAAAUACACAACUCAGCACCUCUGAAAAUGCAUUAUUUUGUACUGUUCAGUGUAUUCGUGUGUGCUAAUAAAUCAGUAGAACUCAACACAAGGUCUUUUUUGUGUAUCCCGCAAAUUUCAGAGUCCUGAUCUGAAGAAAAACAACUUUCUGCUAUGUAAAUGAAAAGAAGGUAAUGCUUUAUGUGCUCACUAGAUGUCAGCGUACUUGUUUUUAGCCAUUUUCUCAGGACGCAACAAGUGCACAACCUGGACAAUAUGGGAGGAAAGGAAAUGACCCAUCGUUUACACAAGCUGAGGGAACAUUAUCAGCAAAGCAAAUAUUUGAAGGAAUACUGGUAUUUCAUAAAUUUCCACUGCAGUCCCACCUGGUUUGUCAAUCACUUCAGUUCACAAAGUAGAGAAAAUCCCCAGAGCAUGUGCUUAAAUCAUAUCUCGUGAUUUAAACAGAUAUUUGUUUUGCUUUCUGCCUUUUUAAGGUUUUUGGUUGGUUACUUUCUGCAGGGAAAUAACAUAUUGUUCUCUAACAGCUGGAGAUUCAUGCUGUUUCAAAUCAGCCAAAUUGACAAACACUUCAGAAAGUCACAUUUCCAUUGAACUGCUAACAAGUGAAGGCUGACCCACUUAUAGAUGUACAUGUGAGCUGCUUUGGGAACAAGCCCUGCUCUAUGUCGGUAGGAGCCAGUCAUGGUUGCAGUUGUGCUACUUACAGGGAAAAUGAGUGGAAAUAUACUGGGAACUUGUGAUACUUGCAGUGAUUAAAAUGGGGUUUAACCACUUGUUGGUAACAGUCACACCAGUGUGGUGGCCACAGUGGGCACAGCUAAACAUGCCUAUUCUUCUGGGUUUUAAGAAAAACCUGUUUCCUCGGGGUGGAACAUCAGGAAAUCUUACUAAUGAGCAAACAUUAGAGAGGCAAUGUGGAGACAGUUUAGACAUGUGCACAGGAGGCAUAGUGGAUAUAAUGGACGAAGGAUGUUGAAGAUGAAGCUGCCAGAAAUGAGGAAAAGACCACAGAAUAAUAAUAAUAAUAAUAAACUUUAUUUAUAAAGCACACUUAAAAACCAAGGGUAUGCCAAGGUGCUUAACAAGUAAAAGAAGACCAAAGAGAGGAUGCAUGAAUGCCGUGAAGGACAAGCAGAGGGUUGGUGUCACAUACAUGAUGAGGUGAGACUGCAGCAGAUGAACCACUGCGAUGACCCCUAAAGGGAGCAGUCAAAAAAAGAAGAAGAGAAGAACAUCUGGAAUCAGGACAGAGAGACAUUUUCUUAGUCUGCCUCAUUCAAGUUCACAAAAACACACUCACACACACUCACACAUACACACACACACAGAGGUCCUUUGUGUUUCAGAGCCGUCACCUCAGCAGGCUCUUGUUACGUCCCUUAAAGCCAACAACAAAGAGCUGAAUGUCUUUUCUACCAGAGCGAUGGAUGAGAGGGGAUCAGGGGCAUAUCCACAAAACCUGAUAAGCCUGAUACCGUUGGUGAGACUGUAUGUGUUUGUAGGUAUUUUCAGAGUUAUUUCUCCCUUAUAAUCACCUAAUACAAGCACAUGUUAAUGAAAAGAGGGAAAUUGUAACAAGAUGGCCUGACUUAAUAAUGUGCAUUGUACAGCGGCACCUCCAGUGGGUUUUGUAACAAGAAACAAUCUGUCAAUGUAGACAACAAAAAAUUAAAGCGCCUCUGACCAACAGCAGGCCACAAGAAAAGCAAGCAUUCCUCUCGU
ensembl:lncRNA